rnacentral:rRNA from 1 species
GAUGAACGCUGGCGGCGUGCCUAAUACAUGCAAGUCGAGCGAAUGGAUUAAGAGCUUGCUCUUAUGAAGUUAGCGGCGGACGGGUGAGUAACACGUGGGUAACCUGCCCAUAAGACUGGGAUAACUCCGGGAAACCGGGGCUAAUACCGGAUAACAUUUUGAACCGCAUGGUUCGAAAUUGAAAGGCGGCUUCGGCUGUCACUUAUGGAUGGACCCGGGUCGCAUUAGCUAGUUGGUGAGGCAACGGCUCACCAAGGCAACGAUUCGUAGCCGAAGUGAGCGGGUGAUCGGCCACACGGGGACUGAGACACGGCCCAGAUUCCUCCGGGAGGAAGCAGUAGGGAAUCUUCCGCAAUGGACGAAAGUCUGACGGAGCAUCGCCGCGUGAGUGAUGAAGGGUUUCGGGUCGUAAAACUCUGUUGUUAGGGAAGAACAAGUGCUAGUUGAAUAAUCUGGCACCUUGACGGUACCUAACCAGAAAGCCACGGCUAACUACGUGCCAGCCGCCGCGGUAA